rnacentral:lncRNA from 1 species
CCCCCAAAAAAUUUAACAUAUUUACCUCUCAUUGAUUUUUUUCCACCUUCCUUUCAGGAAGCUACUGGAAUAUGUGCUCUACCAAAACAGAGAUGAGCAAAGAAAGACGAGGACACAGGGCACAGGGACUUUUGCAGCUCAUACAGUGGAGGAGCACUCAGAAUAUGUAGGGACAACGGUCCAGACUGCAGCAGUUCAAAAAACUUCAGGAAGAAAACAAAAACAAACAAACCAAACUUCAGGAGACUUGUUAUUUUUAAGAAAAUGAAAUUUACAGAAUAUGUGAUGAGUCAAAAAUUGCUGAGGAUUUUUGGGUAUAGUUUUCAAAAAGACAGAAAAUUAAGAAACAAACUCAGCCCUCUUAUGAGCUACCUACCUCUGGCGAUCUUGGCAACACUCUACUGGUGAUCUUUGAGCACUUGUCUUGUUGCAGCAGUGGUGUGGCUGACAGACCGCGUGUGGACACCUUCUUGCAGCCCCCAGUGUCUCUGGCCGCCCAUUGCACUGUGGGACCUGCCCCUCCCAGACUGAGAUGUGGCACAGGUGACCAGUUGUCCUAGUUUGCUGCGACAGAGGGUGGUGUCCGAACGCAAGACUUUCAAUAUUAGCCCUGAUGAAAUUAGGGCUUGAAAAUGUUGGGAAGUUUAACAUCUGGAAGACUAAUGGAACACAAGAACCAGUGUAUCUGUGGUUUCCUUGCCCACCUCCAGAGGCUCUAGAAAUCAAGACUCUGACCACGGUCCUGCAGAGGAGAGCGCUCAGCUGGGCUUGAGGCCAAUGGACCAUCAGCUGCCUUUCCCUCACAGACAGGAAAGCUACAUUCUACUUCCACCUUCAGUGCCGAGCCAGUCCCUGCUGACAGAGGACGUGUUUAGAACCUCUCUCCUGAAAAGGACCCACACAAAGGCACGAGUUCCUGGUGUUGGUCUGAAGAAUCACUCAUCAGCAAAGUCUUUGUCACAGGGAAGUCUUUUUCUUUCUGUUUUACACUUUCUUUUACAUAUUUCUGAUGCUUUAAAAUACCAUAUAUUAUACUCAAUAAUUACCUGUGUAUUGCUGUUUGAUCUUUAUCUUCCACUAGAAUGUAAGCCUCUUCAGGCAAGAAUGUUAUACAUCACUUGUUUCUCCUUGGAUAUAAUUGAUUUUAUCAGUAAAUUUUAAUCUUUGUACACCGGGCGUGGUGGUGCACACCUAUACUCCCAGCAUUCGGGAGGCUGAGGCAGGAGGAGUCUGUGAGUUGAGACCAGCCUGGGCUACAUAGUGAAUUCCAGGUCAGUCUCAACUACAUAGUGAGACCUUGUCUCAAAAACACAAAACAAAAAAAGUUUUUUUUUUGAUCUUUCAUCCUUUUUUCCCCCCAUAAACAGAAUAAAUAAGUAAAAGCCUAAAAUCCCAGAAGGAAAUUCCCAUAUUUAAAAAAAAUUUGUAGGAGACAAAUAGUUUCCUCCCGACCUUUUCAUUCUUACAUCAUCAGUCUUGGGGAUCAUCUCAGAAGACAAACAUAAUCUAGCAAUUCCCAUAUUAAAAAAAAAAACCAAAAAAAACCCUCCUUUGACCUACCUCAAACUCCCAGGCUCUUCCUAAUACUAGCACCAUUUCUGUGCUAUGCUUCCCAUGAGAAUAUCCCGAGUGACCCACGCUCACUGUCCACAGUUUUCCUCCUGAACGUCGUGGUCAGCGCUGGACUCACCUCCCUUCCCUGGCCUCCCGUGGCAGCUGGUCCUCCUCAGUCUCCAAAGCAAUGCUGCAUCGCGCAAAGGACAGCACUGCAGUUACUCCCUCUUUCUGGAAAUGCUCUCCUGUCUCCGGUUUCAGCACGAGUUUUUUGGAUUUGCCCCGUGUAACCGGGUGUCUCUGUCGGACCUUCAGAUGUUAAAGUUGCCCCUGGCUCAGGCUAGGGGUUCCUUGUUAAUUCUUUUCUUUUAAAAAUUCUUGCCCUUACUUUACUUGCCUGUUUACUGAUGACUUCCAAACAUUUAUGUCAACUCCAGAACAUCCUCUGAGGUCUAGACCCAUGUGUCUGUAUAUCCUCUUUGCCUGCUUAUCUUUUAGACAUCCCCA